GUGCGGCUUUGAUGGACAACUCAUAAAUUUGGAACUAUACAGAGAAGAUUAGCAUGGCCACUGCGCAAGAAUGACACGCACAAAUCAAGAAAUGGUCUAAAUUUUU